GUGAAAUUUAGGUGGAAAUUUUCACGUAUUGCGUUUCAGUUGGAAUACGCGUGCGCACAUUUGUGUGUUGUCAAAAUAAGUUGAAUUGAUGAUAAGGUCAUGAUAGUAAUGUAUAAUUAAUUAUAUUAUUUCUCAAUUGCGCAGACCAAACGAUUAUUUUAUCGCAAUUAUAAUAGUUAUUGUCUAGUGUGUAAUAGUAAAAUCGAUAAUAAGAAAACAACAACUACUCUCGAAACGCCAAACAUUGGCUAGUGGCUGCGUAUCGUCGCAACACAAACAAAUCAAAGUUAACAAACGUCUGCGUCCACCAUUCUUUUAUACAGUGAGAACACCAUAACGAAUAGACAUAAAAACGGACUGCACCUGCCUCACUGCGUAAGAUACCAUAGGCAUUGUUGAGGUAUCCAACGCGGGUUCUUUGUUUCAAAGCAAUCGUCGUACGCUCUGUUAUCGUUACAACGCCGAAAAAAAAAAAAUAACAGUUUUCUUUUGUGCUCAUCGCUGACGCCUUCACACCAUCGAUGGCUUCCGGACGUUGUGGCUAUUCAUUUCGUGAUUAUUCUAUCGUAUCAGCACAAUAAUAUUACAUCUUCGCAAAACAGAUCAUCAGCAAUAAACAGCGUGUUCAAUAGGAUAAUGUUCCCACGAUCGAUCGCUUUUACGGUGACCACACGUGGCGGCCAUUGCAACCGCCGCUAACACGACCAUUACGCAUUUGUUAUUAAGUUAAAUCGAAUCGACAGAGAAAACACGAGCACUAUUUGUACAGCCAUCAUUAUUGGGUUUGGUACAUUGCAAUUGCAUUUAUUUUUAAUUUCAUGGAGAUGGCAAUUUUAAGUAUAAAUCGAUUACAAUUAACAAUAAUAAACAAUUGUAGCGUUCUCUAUUUUUAUUGUCUGCAGUGAGUGAACCUAAUGUGAUAACAAGUUAACACGCAAUUCGAAAAUGAUCGAGUACGAUAAGAACAACGUCUGAAAUAAUAAUUUCAUUUCGUUUAGCACAAAGAGCAACCAUUUUUAUCAUACAGAGCGCAUACGUUACUUAACAAAAGCUUAUGUGACGAUAAUUUUUGUUAAGUAGGUGUUAAAUGCUGUCCUUGAUUUAACAACGGCCAUGCAAUCGUGUUAAACUUUUUUUUUUAUACUCGAGAUGAUCAAUACCAGGUGCGCUUACCAAAAGUAGUCAACGGCAAAAUUGCGAAAUUCAUGACGCAAUGACUGAACGUAGUAAAAAAAAAAAAAAAGUAAGAAUUCGAAUUGACAGGAGAUUUUAUUUAAAAACGUCCAAAGAAAAUUUUCCGUUUUAAGUAAACAAAAAUAAAUAGAUAAUUGAUUUAUUUUAAAUUCCAAGGCUUAAUAAAAGUUCUACAGUUGCUUACAUUAAUUCGUUACUGAAAUCAAAUUAUACAGCUGUUGUGUAUACAAUAAAGAGAAGAAAGAAAAAUGGCGAAAUAAAUAAGCACUAUCAUAAUAGGAAAUUAAUUAAAGUAUCACGUACACAGCGCGGCGGUAUUUCCCUGGAGUCACUAUUACCGAGAUGAAAAUGCAAAAUAUAAUGAGAAUCAACCAGAGAUUUACAAUGUUGUCUAACCAAAAACAACAUUAUUUAAUGUUUUAAAGAUUUUUUUUGAAAAAUUCAACAAUUAUACGAUACGCAUUGUAUUAUAAUAGGGUAUAUAGUUAAAAGUAAAUUUGAAACAUUCUUCGUUUGGUUUAAAGUGAACAUUUUUAUUUGUGCGAGGUCAUUUUGAGAAUACCAUUUUCGAGGUCAUCAUUUUAAAUCAAAGUUCAAAUACCAUGUGAAAACAUAAAAAAUCGUUUCAUGAAAAUCUCGACGUAACAAUAAAAAAUCGAGAAAAGCCUACAGAGUAACACAAUAAAAUCGUCAUGUGCGUUAAAAAAAAUAUUAUUCCAUUAUAUUCGAAGAAAGAAAGUAAAACCGUCACGGGGCGGAUUAACGGGCGUCGAAGGCCACCAAAGGAUCGAUAAAGUCGUGUGACUUUGAAAACAUUUACAGGAACUACGAAAGGGGUUAACACUAAUAAUAGUGAAAGGAUAUGUAAAUAUAAGCUUUCUUAAAAGGCAAGGGGAUGAUGACCCCUUAGUCUAUUAGUGUAUGGUAAUAUUUUAGCGUUGACGUGACGACCCAAUACUGUGCCUCAGCGAAAAGCACGUGACUGUGCA